rnacentral:tRNA from 26 species
AAAAUCCGUCGACUUUAUAAAUCGUGAGG